AAGGUGCUGGUGCGAGGACCUUUGAAAGACACUGGAUAUGGCAGUACUCCCCUCAGUCAUCUACCCUCCAUCUCACAAAGAAGAGAGAGGCUUGUGAAUUUGUUAUACUUUGUGUUGGAGCAUGGGCAAAUUCUGGAGGAUCAGGCGAGCUUGUUUUCAUCUUUUAUGAGCAGCACCUCCCUCCCUCUGUGCUGCAGCCUGUGGUGACACUGACCUCUGGUGAUCACGAACCUUAAUUACUAAAAAGUGCUGAAUAAGGCUGUGGCCCAUGCAGAAGUGACACCGUGCAGCCUCUUGAAGCAUGCUUCCGUCUCCGUGAUUUCUCCUUGCAUUUGCCAAACAUGACAUUAACUCCACUGAAGUGAACAGAAACCAGAUCUCCACCCAGGCUAUUUUUUGUCCA